rnacentral:rRNA from 1 species
UUGGGUUAAGUCCCGCAACGAGCGCAACCCUCGUUUUUAGUUGCCAUCAUUAAGUUGGGCACUCUAGAGAGACUGCCGGUGACAAACCGGAGGAAGGUGAGGAUGACGUCAAGUCAGCAUGGCCCUUACGUCCUGGGCUACACACGUACUACAAUGCUACGGACAAAGGGCAGCAAGCCAGUGAUGGCAAGCAAAUCUCGUAAACCGUAGCUCAGUUCAGAUUGUAGGCUGCAACUCGCCUACAUGAAGUCGGAAUCGCUAGUAAUUGCAGGUCAGCAUACUGCAGUGAAUUCGUUCCCGGGCCUUGUACACACCGCCCGUCACACCAUGGGAGCUGGUUACGCCCGAAGUCGUUACUCUAACCGCAAGGAGGGGGACGCCGAAGGUAGAACUGGUGACUGGGGUGAAGUCGUAACAAGGUAACCA